rnacentral:rRNA from 1 species
CCUACGGGUGGCAGCAGUCGAGAAUCAUUCACAAUGGGGGAAACCCUGAUGGUGCGACGCCGCGUGGGGGAAUGAAGGUCUUCGGAUUGUAAACCCCUGUCAUGUGGGAGCAAAUUAAAAAGAUAGUACCACAAGAGGAAGAGACGGCUAACUCUGUGCCAGCAGCCGCGGUAAUACAGAGGUCUCAAGCGUUGUUCGGAAUCACUGGGCGUAAAGCGUGCGUAGGCUGUUUCGUAAGUCGUGGGUGAAGGGCGCGGGCGCAACCCGCGGACGGCACAUGAUACUGCGAGACUAGAGUAAGGGAGGGGGAACCGGAAUUCUCGGUGUAGCAGUGAAAUGCGUAGAUAUCACGCAGAACUCCGAUUGCGAAGGCGGCAUACCGGCGCCCGACUGACGCUGAGGCACGAAAGCGUGGGGAUCGAACAGGAUUAGAUACCCCUGUAGUC